CAGACUGACAAAAUGAUAGUUGCAAACGAUAACAACUACGCCCUAGCAGCUUAAGCCUGCUAGCCUUUGACUGAAGCCGUGCUUAUGCGUUCAGAUUUCAGAGGUCGAUCUCAUAAGAUAAGCUUGACGUAUGCUUGGUACUGAUGGACUAAAACCUUAACAAGAUCGCUAUUUGUUUUCCCUGUUCAUCGGGUAGCUUAUAGUUAAAAUAAUAGAUGGAAUAAGCAUGUAGAGCUGAAAGCGGAGGAUUUGCGGACGCGGGUUCGAUUCCCGCCGUCUCCACCA
rnacentral:tmRNA from 1 species